AGUGUGCAGUUCAGUGGUUAGGACUCCAAGCGUCCACUGCAGGAAGCAUGAGUUCGAUCCCUGGUUGGGGAACUAGGAUCCUAUAUGCUGAGUGGCACAGCCAAAUGUUAAUAAAUAAAUAAAAAAUAGGAAGUGCUCUUUACUAUCCUCUGUCCCCACCCCACUGGUCCCAGGGAGGAGGUGGCCUCACUGUCCUUGGGGCCAAGAUCCAGCUCAGAAGGAAGCAGCAGCCACCUCUGGCCAUCUCUGUAAUCCCCUUGGCUUCACAUUCCCUCCCUGCCGCCCCCCUCUUCCUUCUCAAGUCCCUGCUGUUAGAAAGGUCUUAAUCCAGAGACUGAAGUUAACAGGAAAUGGUGGCUCCAGAUCCAAUCGGCCCAAAAGCUGCUCUGAGCCCACACCCAGCACCUGGAGGUACCUGAAAGUGAGUUCCCUAGAAGCCCAGCACAGCCGUCUCCUCUUCACAGCCCUGAGAUGCAGCUGUCAGACCACAUGAAAACCAUUCUCCUCAAGGUUAAAACUUUAAUGCACUGUUUACACACUGAAGCAAAAGAGGUUUGCAUAAUUAAUGGAGCACAGAAAAUUGAGAGACAGAGCACAAAGUAUGUUUUAAAGGGAAAGAAAGGGGGUGGGGAGCUGAGCAGGAGGAAGGCAGACCCUCCGGACUCUUGGGGCACAACUGGGAAGAAACCCACGCAAGUGGAGGGCAGGUCCCUCUCCCAUUUCUGAAGGAUGGUCACCUUACCACGGGGCCCCUUUCUAAAGGCUGCCCCCUCCCUCUGUUCUGCCAGCAGUGGGCCCAGGGCAGUCUCCUUCAACCGGGCAUUAAAUCCUGGGAGCAGACUCAGUGUCAGUCUGGGAACCCUGAAAGUCCUCCCUGGGAAGGCAGAGAAGGGAGGGGAAGACCCCCCGCCCCCACAUCUCCUCUGAAGACACGCAGGGUGCCCACAGCCCCCCGAGUCAGGAGGAAUUCCUCCGCGUGUCAUCAGCCGAGGGCGCCCGGCACAGGCAGCCUGGCAUAUGGUGUCUGCAAUUUUUUUAGUGAUAAGUGGCGGGCGUGUUAGCGGAGCCGCGGCGGAGCACGGAGAGUCGGUUGGCUAAUCACUCCCGGUCUCCUGCACCCUCGGGCGGAAUCCUAUUGCUUUAUGCAGAUGAGCUCAUAACAGUUUCUUCAAUUUGGCUUUUAUAGAAAAAAGUGCCAGCUCCUCACACUGUGUCAACAGCCACCCGAGGGCCUACCACUUUACAACGCGAGUGUAUUACUAUUUAAAGACAAGCUUUUAGCUGAACAUCAGUGCUGCCUUCAGAGUUUAAUUACCGCCCUCCCCAUGGGGCCCAAUGAGCCAGCGACUCCUCCCAAGGGGCUUCUGCUUGGUGAUGAUCUUUAACUAAGAGGUCCUGCUAAGGAACAUGGAAGUAACAAGUCACCACCAACUGGAAGAGUUCAGGAAAGGUCAAAAGGAGACUCCAUUCUGUGUAUCCUACCAACCUCCCAGAAUCCUCCUUGCUGGCAUCCAUCUUGGCAGAGCAAUGAAUGCACCACCAGGAAGGACCCUGGGUCAGAAUGAUCUGUCAAAGACAACCCAGAAACUAACCUCAUCACCAUAAAUCCCAUGACUCCAAGCCACAUGGCAGAGCAGUUCUCCUGGGCUCCCUUACCCUCCUGAUCUCUGCCUGGGUGCUCCUUGCCAAUAAAGUCACUUGCUUUGUCAGCA